rnacentral:misc_RNA from 1 species
AAUUCAGGAAAAUUGUUUAUAUAAAUUCGUAAUAAGCUACAAUGAUCAUUCGGGAGAUUAAUCUUGUUUGUUUGGUCUCAGCUUCAGCGAGGGCGAGCAGGCGACAUGAGGCGACGUCCAGCUACAGGGUCCUCGUGACAACAUGAACACUUCGCUACCGACAAAUGCAUCUGUCGCCGCCUUUGCUUCCCACGAGGCAACGUAUACUAUUACACAAGUCGUCUUCAUCGGCACUAUUGCUGCAAUUUUGUCACUGCUCACAGUGGUGGGAAACAUUAUGGUAAUGAUAUCAUUCAAGAUAGAUAAGCAACUGCAAACAAUAAGCAACUAUUUCCUGUUCUCCCUCGCCGUCGCUGAUUUUGCCAUCGGGCUCAUUUCCAUGCCGCUCUUCACUAUUUCAACACUAUUGGGCUAUUGGCCAUUAGGCCCCUUGAUUUGCGAUACGUGGCUGGCUCUAGACUACCUUGCUAGCAAUGCUUCCGUGUUGAAUCUCCUCAUUAUUAGUUUCGACCGUUAUUUUUCUGUCACACGGCCACUUACCUAUCGUGCCAAAAGGACCAAUAGAAAGGCUGCAUCUAUGAUAGGGUGUGCAUGGGGUGUAAGUUUGCUUUUAUGGCCUCCGUGGAUUUACAGCUGGCCUUAUAUCGAAGGACAGCGCACGGUGCCUGACAACGAGUGCUAUAUCCAGUUCAUCGAAACCAAUCAUUAUAUUACUUUUGGUACGGCAAUUGCGGCAUUUUAUGUUCCGGUUUCAGUGAUGAUUUUUUUAUAUUGGAGAAUUUGGAGAGAAACUGAGAAGAGACAGAAAGACUUACCGAAGCUGCAGGCGGUCAAAAAAGAUAACAGUAAAAGAAGCAAUUCGAGUGUAUUCGUGUGCAGCGACGAAGCGACCAACGUCUGCUCUACAGUCGAUAUGGACGAAUGGAAAAGAACGAGAUCCGAAUCUUCUUUUGCAGAGGCGGAGUCUCUUUACAUGCAUGGUUCAGUCAAUGCGGGACCUUACCGGAGGAAAAGAUCGCGACUGAUCACUGAACGUGGCAUUCGAGGAAGCGCAAUCCGAUUGCGUGCUUGGUGUGUCGCUUGGUGGCAUUCUGGAAGAGAAGACAGUGAUACUGAAGACGAAAGUCCAAGCGAACAAGGACAAGGAUGCAUCACACCUGUUUCUCUGGAUACGCCAUUGCCGAGUUCAGUAUCCAGAUGUACAUCGCUCAAUGUUAUUAGGGAUGCGAAUGCAACCAGAGAUGGGGGUUGGCCAACUAAUCAAGCAAAUGUGACCCCCACACGAUUUACGCCGCGCGACACAAGAAGCUUACCGAUGGCCAAUCGGUUAGGAGGAAGAUCGGGGUCUUCAGACAGUGUAUAUACUAUCGUCAUUAAGUUACCUGGAGAUCCCAAGGAAAGCCAUCAUGGGACUGUGGAACCACCUUCAAUCAAGAUGAUUCCAGAAGACAGUAUCGAAAAUAACUUUAACAAUUCGGAUAAACUGAAUUCGAAUUCUACUGUUUACGCGAACCAUGUAAAUAGGAGACCUUCUGCCAUGCCAGAUGUGAGGAUACCCUUAAAUGCUAAAGGAAUUCCGAAGCAUCUGGUGGGAAAAACGUUGCUCGCAAAUGCAACGAAAAACCAUGGCAAGAAAAAGAAGAAAACGCAAGAGAAAAAAGCGGAAAAGAAGGCAGCAAAGACAUUGUCUGCCAUCCUGCUAUCGUUCAUAUUCACGUGGACUCCCUACAACAUAUUGGUGCUGCUCAAGCCGGUCACAUCAACUAGUAACCUGAUUUCUCCUCAACUGUGGGACUUUUUCUACUAUUUAUGCUACAUUAACUCUACAAUAAAUCCCAUGUGCUACGCAUUGUGCAAUGAGAGUUUUCGCAGGACCUACUUGAGAAUUUUACAGUGCAAAUGGCACAGCAGGAAUCGAACGGGAGUAAAUCGUGGAUUGUUUAAUAUGUGAGACAGUGAGUUUACGUCGUUUUAGCCGAAUAAUGUAAAGCAUUUUAAACGGAAAGAUAAACUGCAGAGCCAACCGAUGGACUUGCUUGGAAACUCAAAGAUUAGACGCUCAGUUUGUGCUUUAUCGGCAAAAUGUUCAAUCCUCAUCUAAAUCACACUUACGCCGAAGCAACUUGGUUCAAGCUACCGAAAUUUGGACAGUAAUUUGUCCGUUUAAAAUGAUAUUAUAAUCAAAUUUAUUAAAAUUUUUGGUUAUCGUGGAACGUAAUCGUAUCGUGUACGGUGGCUACAAUAGCUAGAUAUUUAAAUUACCCGAUAUGAAGGCUGAUAACAUUUUGGAAGCAAAAAGACAAGAGCAAUAAAGCCUAAAAAAAUUAAAAACAAUUAUUGCGAACUUAGAUUAUAUUAUUUAAAAACUGUUCUCAAAGCUUCUUCCUGAUUAAUAUUUUGGUGCCUUUUCCAAAGUGUUAUCACCAAAUACCAAAAUAACCCAGUGUAGAAGUACUAAUAGCUAAAAAUAUGUACCAAAUAAAUAUUGCCCUUAGUACCCGCUCUAAACUGAAAACAAACCCGAAUUCAUGUUUCUGUAUAAUUUCUAAAUGUAUCUGAGGCUCAAUCAAUGUUCUAAGUUGUGUGCAAAGAACUGAGAUAUAUUUUAAGAAAGAAGUAAAUCCGCACAAACAUGAUAAAAGUGUUGUCAAUAGUUGUUAAAUAAAAAAAAAUGAAAUUUGUUUGGUUUUGU